UACGUAGGGGGCAAGCGUUGUCCGGAUUUAUUGGGCGUAAAGAGCGUGUAGGCGGCUUUACAGGUCCGUUGUGAAAACUCGAGGCUCAACCUCGAGACGCCGGUGGAAACCGUAAGGCUAGAGUCCGGAAGAGGAGAGUGGAAUUCCUGGUGUAGCGGUGAAAUGCGCAGAUAUCAGGAGGAACACCGGUGGCGAAGGCGGGUCUCUGGGCCGAUAUUGACGCUGAGGAGCGAAAGCGUGGGGAGCGAACAGG
rnacentral:rRNA from 1 species